AUUGAACGCUGGCGGCAUGCUUUACACAUGCAAGUCGAACGGUAACAGGCCGCAAGGUGCUGACGAGUGGCGAACGGGUGAGUAAUGCAUCGGAACGUGCCCAGUCGUGGGGGAUAACGCAGCGAAAGCUGUGCUAAUACCGCAUACGAUCUAUGGAUGAAAGCGGGGGACCGUAAGGCCUCGCGCGAUUGGAGCGGCCGAUGUCAGAUUAGGUAGUUGGUGGGGUAAAGGCCCACCAAGCCAACGAUCUGUAGCUGGUCUGAGAGGACGACCAGCCACACUGGGACUGAGACACGGCCCAGACUACUACGGGAGGCAGCAGUGGGGAAUGUUGGACAAUGGGCGCAAGCCUGAUCCAGCAAUGCCGCGUGCAGGAAGAAGGCCUUCGGGUUGUAAAGCCCUUUCGGACGGGACGAACGCUCCGCGGUGACAACCCGCGGAGUCUGACGGUACCGUAGGAAGAAGCACCGGCUAACUCCGUGCCAGCCGCCGCAGUAACAC
rnacentral:rRNA from 1 species